GAACGCUAGCGGCAGGCUUAACACAUGCAAGUCGAGGGGCAGCAAGGAUUGUGCUUGCACAAUCUGUUGGCGACCGGCGCACGGGUGCGUAACGCGUAUGCAACCUACCUUUAACAGGGGGAUAACACUGAGAAAUUGGUACUAAUACCCCAUAAUACUUUGAAAGGCAUCUUUCGGAGUUGAAAGUUCCGGCGGUUAGAGAUGGGCAUGCGUUGUAUUAGCUAGAUGGCGGGGUAACGGCCCACCAUGGCGACGAUGUCUAGGGGUUCUGAGAGGAAGGUCCCCCACACUGGAACUGAGACACGGUCCAGACUCCUACGGGAGGCAGCAGUGAGGAAUAUUGGUCAAUGGUCUGACGACUGAACCAGCCAUGCCGCGUGAAGGUGACGGCCCUAUGGGUCUUAAACUUCUUUUGUAAGGGAGCAAUAAGUCUCACGUGUGGGAUGAUGAGAGUACCUUACGAAUAAGCAUCGGCUAACUCCGUG
rnacentral:rRNA from 1 species